UGGGGAAUAUUGCACAAUGGGCGCAAGCCUGAUGCAGCCAUGCCGCGUGUGUGAAGAAGGCCUUCGGGUUGUAAAGCACUUUCAGCGAGGAGGAAGGUGGUGAGCUUAAUACGCUCAUCAAUUGACGUUACUCGCAGAAGAAGCACCGGCUAACUCCGUGCCAGCGGCCGCGGUAAUACGGAGGGUGCAAGCGUUAAUCGGAAUUACUGGGCGUAAAGCGCACGCAGGCGGUUUGUUAAGUCAGAUGUGAAAUCCCCGGGCUCAACCUGGGAACUGCAUUUGAAACUGGCAAGCUAGAGUCUCGUAGAGGGGGGUAGAAUUCCAGGUGUAGCGGUGAAAUACGUAGAGAUCUGGAGGAAUACCGGUGGCGAAGGCGGCCCCCUGGACGAAGACUGACGCUCAGGUGCGAAAGCGUGGGGGAGCAAAACAGGAUUAGAUACCCUGGUAGUCCACGCUGUAAAACGUGUCGAUUUGGAGGUUGUGCCCUUGAGGCGUGGCUUCCGGAGCUAACGCGUUAAAUCGACCGCCUGGGGAGUACGGCCGCAAGGUUAAAACUUAAAUGAAUUGACGGGGUCAUAGCUGUUUCCUG
rnacentral:rRNA from 1 species